CUCGCGGGCGGGGAGAGGCGUUGGGGGGACGAAGGCCCUGCGGCGGAUGGGGAGACCGGGCUUGCCAAGAAGAUUGUCCAUUUAAGGGCUAGUUGUGCGCUGUAGGAUUCCGAAGAGAUGAAGAAACGGAGAGAUUUCUCCUUCAUGCCCUCUUCAUCCAGAGGCCGAGCACGCACUGGUCAGCGGGGCGCUUGAGACGUCCCAGUGUGGAGCUGGUGACAGAGAAAAGGCGAGCCAGGGGUGGGCGUGGUGGGGGCAGCCAAGGGUGCUGAGAAAAGGCAUCAAAGGGCACCUGCUGCUGGUGGCAGGUAUUUGGCCCGAUAUGGGCCACUGUGUGGGGACUGACGGGGACUACGGAGGCCAGACUGGCCAGAGCCCUUCCCGUCUGAGCGCCAGCUCUGCAGGCUCCUCGGCGCCGGGUCCAGAACCUGGCUGUGUCGCCGCUCUCUCCUCCGGGUAACGGGAGACUGGGCCAGCUCAAGCCGAGCGCGAAGGCAGCCCUGAUGCUGCCAGGCUCCUCCGGGGACCUCUCCAGUGCGUCUGCGCCGGCCUCAAGGGCCGCCACCCCAGCUGCGAGGGUUUCCCAGGACGGAGGGGUGUCCUGACCAGACUGAAGGCUGCACCCUGCCACAGCCUUCCUGGCGGGCAGAGGCAGGGCUUUCUUAAAAAUCAAGGCUGGAGUUGAUUCUUAAAGAUGCAUGGCAUUGAUUCAGGAAAGACAAAAGGAAAAGAUGCUCACCAGGGGCAUGGAAAAUUCAUGGGGCCUUGUUCUGAGAGAAGCAAGUUAUCAUUCUGGAAUGGCUCUAUGAAGAGGUUAAUGUGUCAAGAUGCUGACAACCCCAGCAACAGCUAACAAGGACCUCUAGCCUACCAACAGCCACGUGAGUGACCUCGGAAGCCGACCCUCCCUGAGUUGAGCCUGCAGAUGACUGUCGCCUUGGAGAGCACCUUGACCGAAGAAUGUGAGGGAAUGUGAGCCUGCUGAACUGUACCUGCAUUCCUGCAGAAACUGUGAGAUAAUAAACAUUGCUUUAAGCUGCUAAUUUGGUGGCAUUUUGUUAUGCAGCAAUAGAUAACCAAACUCCACCAAAGUAAUCGGUCUCCUUGGGGUGGCUUAAUAGUCUCCUAAUCUUAGAAGAACUGAUGAUACUUCAUGCUCUCACGUUUGCCAUCUUCUUUUCGGCAGCAAGGGAGCAGCUGUCCCAGGGUAUUUCUCCAAGAGGAACACCCUAGCACCAUCUGCCAGUGGGGAGCCAGCCAGCUCAUUGUCAGCGACAGUAACAGAAAUUCCAACUAAAGUAUUUUCACUUCCCCACACUCAUGUUCAAGCAGAGCUUCUGAAGUUCCUUCUUGGCAAAUGCAUCUCCUACUGUGUCUUUAGUCAAACAAUUGCAUUUUCUAGCCCUCCGCCUUGGGGCAUGGCUCCCUGCACCAGCUCCCCAGUGCCUUUCCAAAGCCAGUGCUCACUCGGAGGGAGACAGCACAUGUUUUCAUUUCAAGUCCAUGUGGAGGAUGAUUUGAGAGCAUCCCUGUGUUUUAAACUUUCUUCAGGUGAAAGGAACUCAGACAUUUUUAUCUCUCUUUCAAGAGGAGAAUAGUCCGAGGUAUCGGCCUUAGUCCUUUAGUUUGUUUCUGGUUUCUAAAGCAGCAUGCAUAUAAACAAAAAUACAGCUUAGUUUCCCUUUUGACAGCAUUUUUAAAUCAGAGAAAUACCACUUUUCUUGUAAAAAUUAUACAAAAGAAGUGAUAACAUGAUUUCUCAGGAAUGCAAGGCCACACGGACCCCAGAAAAAAGACAGAUCCACAUGUUCAGAGCAUGGUUUAAAAAAGAAGAAAAAGAAAAAAGAAAAAAAAGAAAAAAAACACAACAGAGAAUUAGGGUUCUGGAAGGAUGUAAAGAAACUGGAGCAUUUUUAUCAGGAUGAGAAGUGGGGCUUUAACCUUCUGAAUAGUCUACUGGACAUAAAAGUGUGUAAUAUAGUAUCCCAUAAGCCACUACAUACCAAUGAGCAUCAAUGCUCAUCUGUUCUGGUUGUGAGGAGAGUACCAAGUGGUAAAAGCUUUUAGGAGAGAGUUUGUGUGUGAUAGUAGAAAUGCUGAUGGCUUGGACUCAGACAAGCUCAGACUCAAGAUCAACCUACCUGCGCUGAGGAUGUGAAUUUUAUGACAAAGUAAACAAGGGAGGCAUGGAAGGAUUGCUUUGCUUUUUCAGUGAAUUUUACCUACCCUGGGCUGACAUUGGCUCAAACAUUUUUAUAUUCUAUAUUUCAUGUUAUUUGAAUAAAAAUGUUAAGCUUUC